UGGAGCAGCAGCAGCUGACUUGAUCCUUGAUGCUAAUCAGCAUGUUUUGAAUCUGAGAGUAAAUGGAUCUGACUACAACUCUAAAAAUACAGGGUUCAACUGGAGUUGUUCUGAGAUCCCCUAAGAACCAUAGGGUUCUUGGUCAAUGAAAAACAGCCCCAAAAGGUUCUUCAAAGAACAUGUUAGAAGGUGGGUUCAUCGAGGAACCUCCGUUGUUGCUGGACUUCUUCCGGAAACUUCGCAAUUACAACUGAAAACGAUGGUGACAAGUUUGGAUGCGACAACAGUUAAAAGAUCUUCUCAGAAAUGAAUCAAGUCCAUGGAAUGGAUAUUGACAAAACGAUAAUUCAAGAACUAGCAGAGGUAGAGAGGCAGGGGUGAGGACAUCAUCCUGCUAUUUUGACAGUCCCUGAAGGACAAUACAGAAGAGAUUUCACCGCUCUUCACUCCUUUACUGCACAUCGGCGGAAAACCAUUUCACCAUGAGAGUGAAAUCCCGCUGGCCUUUGACGGGAGAACAUCCACGACCUCGAGGACGUCUCCAUGGGACUUGGGGCUCUGCUAGAGCUGUAUUUUUUAUUUCCCCUUAAAUUUCCCAAAAAUGUCAGAAAAACACUUAUGUUGUUAAGUUACUGUGUUCUGGGGAUAAAAGAAGUUGGGUGAAGUUACCAGGGCUGGUCAUAAAGAUGGCAAACUUCCUAACAUAACUAAGUGAAUAUGAUAUACACACUAAAGCUGAAAAAUCUGUAUUUAGCAUCAAGUCUACAAUGUUAUUAGUUUACCGAUGAUUCAUUUUUAAUGUAUUUUGUUUUUAUUGUACAUCAUUAUU